rnacentral:tRNA from 1 species
GCCGGAGUGGCGGAAUGGUAUACGCACAGGACUUAAAAUCCUGGGCCGCAAGGCAUGUGGGUUCGAGUCCCGCCUCCGGUA